GGGAGCCGUGAUUCCAUAGUCAAGAGGAUUCCUCUGACCAAUAAUAUGUAGGGAAGAAGGCAUCAGCCAAUAGAAUGAAGAGGGGCGGGGCGGCACCGCUUUUAAAAGCAGCACGUGUUGGCGUAUUUCUCAUUUGGAAGCGUGCAGGUGGUUUGGUUGGCAAGGGUUUGACUCUGGGCGGUGGUUUCUUUGGAUCCCCCCGCCUUCCUGAUGAGGGCUCUUUGAGGAGCAAAGGACCAGCAAUAUGGUUGGAGCCUGGAUUUGAGACAGAGGGGAUGAAGACCUUUUGAGAUGUACCUGAUCAGAUGGGAAGACACAAGAUCUGGGUUCCAGAAGGACUGCAACAGGAGAAGGAAGCCCAUCAAAAAUAUUUCCUGCUUCUUGAAUAGAUCCCAUAAUAGUAGGACUCCUGUGGGGCUGGCCCUCAAGACAUUUUGCUGCCUGAGUUUUUAAAAAGAGAAUGAUGAUUCCUUUUUAUCAAUGCGAAGCAACUCAAGGAACUGGCAAAGUGUUACUUCUUGAAGAGCCAGGAUAACAGCAUUCAGCUGCUGAGGUGAAGACAGCAAGAUUGGUAGGGCUGGCCCCAGGUUUGCAGGACUCUGGAAGCAACAGAUCUUAUUUUUAAAGGAUGAUUUUGUUAUUUAAUGUUAUUGCAAAAAGGUAAAGGUUUCUGUUGACAAUUUGUCCAGUUGUGUCUGGCUCUAGGGGGUGGUGCUCAUGCCUGUUUUUAAGCCAUAGAGCCAGUGUUUGUAGACCAGACAAACCUCAAUCCCCAGUCUGUGAACUGGCAGUGGUCUAUGGCUUAGGCAGGACUGGACUGCAGACACAGAUCUCCUGCCCACCCCAGAAGUGCCCCCCCUGUGGGAGGUGCCAUAUACAUGAGCAUGUGUCCCCCCACUGGUCUGCUGUUUGGAAAAGGUUGGGGAUCAUUGCUGUAGUUUUUGUGGCCAGCGCAACUAGAUACAGAACACAGUUACCUUUCCACCAUAGUGGUACAGUACU
rnacentral:lncRNA from 1 species